AUGAGCUUUCGAAAAUGUAAGGAGCCAUGUACCAGGUACAUCACGGCGGGGGACACUCAUGACAGGUGCGUAGUAUGUCUUGGUUUACAUCACGCACAGGCGGCGCUUAGCGGCCUUUCUUCCUGUCCCCAUUGUGAUGGCCUGCGGCUCAGAGUGCUGCGCUCCAGGGUGGAAGUUUUCUCUAAUGUCGCCCUCGAGUCUAACCCCCGUCAGGUCACCUCUGCGACUGCCGAGGCACCGCACGAGGCGAGGGCCUGGGGUGACACGUGCGACAUGGAUUUUGUGGACAGCGCAGCGCUGGAAUAUUCUCCACAUCGCUCGCUCUCCCCUACCCUGCUGCAGAAUAAAACUUAUACUGAGCCCGUCGUCUUCUCUAAUGAGGAUUUACUUCCCACACCGGAGGCAUGCACCGCCAUCUCCUUCGGUUGUGGACGCUAUGACGACGAUGUUUUAUCCACCGCGGCCUCGGGGUCUGAGGACUUCGCGACCGACACUAGCCCUCUUCCUCCUAGCGGACAGGAGAGGCGUGUUUCCCCCUCCUACAGUGAGCUGUUGGAUGUGGUUUCUCGUGCGGUGGGUAAAUUGGGGCUAGACUGGGAGGUUGACAAGGCCGAGGCCCAACCUUCUUCCAAGCUGGACGACCGUUUUUUAACCAGUCGGACACCUACACAGCCCCGGAGGCCUUUGCCUUUUUUCCCGGACCUCCACCAGGAGGUUUCGAGGUCCUGGAAACAGCCAUUUUCGGCGCGGAUUACUAACGCCGCGGCCGCGGAUUUCGCCACCGUUUCUGAUAUGGCGAACCAUGGCUAUACUAUGAUGCCCCCGGUGGAAGAGACUCUCGCCGAACACCUUGCGCCUAGUUCGGCCGCGGCUUGGAAGUCUCGCCCCCUUCUUCCUUCGAAGGCGUGUCGAGUCACGUCUAGUUUGGUGGGUAAAUCCUACAUGGCGGCUGGUCAGGCGGCUGCGUCGCUCCACUCUAUGGCGGUCCUUCAGGCCUACCAGGCGGAGUUAUUGAAGGAAUUGGAUGAAGGUGAGGGCAUCACACCGGAGGCAGUUAAAGAACUGCGUAGAGCUACGGAUUUGGCGCUACGCGCUACCAAACAUACCGCUCGUGCAGUGGGCCGUACUAUGGCCGGUUUGAUUUCGGUUGAGCGCCACCUCUGGCUUAAUCUCACCGAUAUUAAGGAGAAGGAUAAAUCUUUCCUUAUGGAUGCCCCUGUCUCCAGGGAUGGAUUGUUCGGUGAGGCUGUCACGUCAGUAGUGGAGAAGUUCAGGGCAGCGAAACAGCAAUCAGCCGCUUUCCGCCAGCUGAUUCCCCGCAGACCCAGGGAGGUCGAACGCCGGCAAGCGCCCGCGCGUUCUCGCUCAACCUCCUCUCACCGCCAGCGAGCAGCCUCUCGAGAGGAACCUACACCCAUGGCGCCUCCUCGUAAGGACUGGGGCCCUAGGGUUUUUCCUCCGGCGCACCAGCGUCAACGUAAGCGUUUGAACCUGACCUCGACGGCUAAAGCCUCUCGUUCUCGGGUGCCGAAUAGCAGCUCCUGA
ensembl:lncRNA